UGAACGCUGGCGGCAGGCCUAACACAUGCAAAUCGAACGGUAACAGGCAGCAGCUUGCUGCUUCGCUGACGAGUGGCGGACGGGUGAGUAAUGUCUGGGAAACUGCCUGAUGGAGGGGGAUAACUACUGGAAACGGUAGCUAAUACCGCAUAACGUCGCAAGACCAAAGAGGGGGACCUUAGGGCCUCUUGCCAUCGGAUGUGCCCAGAUGGGAUUAGCUAGUAGGUGGGGUAACGGCUCACCUAGGCGACGAUCCCUAGCUGGUCUGAGAGGAUGACCAGCCACCCUGGAACUGAGACACGGUCCAGACUCCUACGGGAGGCAGCAGUGGGGAAUAUUGCACAAUGGGCGCAAGCCUGAUGCAGCCAUGCCGCGUGUAUGAAGAAGGCCUUCGGGUUGUAAAGUACUUUCAGCGGGGAGGAAGGGAGUAAAGUUAAUACCUUUGCUCAUUGACGUUACCCGCAGAAGAAGCACCGGCUAACUCCGUG
rnacentral:rRNA from 1 species